UGGGGAAUAUUGCACAAUGGGCGAAAGCCUGAUGCAGCAACGCCGCGUGAGUGAUGAAGGUCUUCGGAUUGUAAAGCUCUGUCUUUUGGGACGAUAAUGACGGUACCAAAGGAGGAAGCCACGGCUAACUACGUGCCAGCAGCCGCGGUAAUACGUAGGUGGCGAGCGUUGUCCGGAUUUACUGGGCGUAAAGGGUGCGUAGGCGGAUGUUUAAGUGAGAUGUGAAAUACCCGGGCUUAACUUGGGUGCUGCAUUUCAAACUGGAUAUCUAGAGUGCAGGAGAGGAGAAUGGAAUUCCUAGUGUAGCGGUGAAAUGCGUAGAGAUUAGGAAGAACACCAGUGGCGAAGGCGAUUCCCUGGACUGUAACUGACGCUGAGGCACGAAAGCGUGGGUAGCAAACAGGAUUAGAUACCCUGGUAGUCCACGCCGUAAACGAUGAGUACUAGGUGUAGGAGGUAUCGACCCCUUCUGUGCCGCAGUAAAACACAUUAAGUACUCCGCCUGGGGAAGUACGAU
rnacentral:rRNA from 1 species